GUUACAUAAGGCUCACCGCGAUGCUGCACCAGCACCAGUGUCAACUGAAGUCUCCUUAAGUCUCGCAGUAAUUCUCUGUUUGAAACGUUUCCAUGAAACGAAAUGUGGUUCACAGACGGAGAGCAGCACAGCAGAUAAAAACCGACAUGACGAUGUUCUGCUGCUGCUGCUGCUGCAGCGUCAUCGCUCACCUGAAGAUCACGAGCGGAUGAAGGCGCUGUGAAUGAAAAACAAAACAGAAACUCACCGCUGACGAAGAGGAGACGCAGGAGACAGGAGGGAAACACGGAGUGAUGAAGAGGAGGAGGAGGAAGAGUCUGCAGCGUCGCUGGAAAACAGCGAGGAGAGAAGAUGCGUUCGUGUGCCUAGAGAAGAGUAGGAAAGAAGGCCGCACCUUGAAGGCCAGUUUGGCUUUGCACUGCGGCUGUCUCCACACCACCAAAGUGGUGACCAUGCAGAUCGCCAUGACCACCCCAAGGACAGCGAGGGACCAGGUACGCAGGCCCCCCUGGACCGCCACCACACUGAAGCAGCACAUCAGCACGCCUGCAGGGGGAGACCGGACGGCUGAUGGCUCUCACACCGCUCUUCCAGUCGGAGCUGCUCACUCACCCAGCAGGCUGGUGCAAAUAUUGACAGUGAACCCGGACAGAGGCGUCGGCUCCGUGUUGG